rnacentral:rRNA from 1 species
UCUUUUUGUUUUAAAUUUAAAGUCUGGCCUGCCCGUUGAAGUAUUUAAAUGGCCGCGAUAUUUUGAUCGUGCUAAGGUAGCAUAAUCAUUAGUUUUUUAAUUGAAAGCUGGAAUGAAGGGUUGGAUGAAAAAAUAGCUGUCUAUAUUUAAUUUUAUUAAAAUUUUAUUUUUAAGUUAAAAAGCUUAAAUUUUAUUAAAAGACGAGAAGACCCUAUAGAGUUUUAUAAAUUUAUAAGAUUUUUUAUUUAGAAUUAAAUUUUUUAAUUUUAAAAGUUUAUUUUGUUGGGGCGAUUAAAAAAUUUAAUUAACUUUUUUUAUAUUAAUAUAUUAAUUUAUAAAUUUUUGAUCCAAUAUUUUUGAUUAUAAGUUAAAAUUACCUUAGGGAUAACAGCGUUAUUUUAUUAGAGAGUUCUUAUCGAUAAUAAAGAUUGCGACCUCGAUGUUGGAUUAAAA